rnacentral:rRNA from 1 species
GAUGAACGCUAGCGGGAGGCUUAACACAUGCAAGUCGAGGGGCAGCACGAGGUAGCAAUACUUUGGUGGCGACCGGCGCACGGGUGAGUAACGCGUAUGCAACCUACCCUGUACAGGGGGAUAACCCGGAGAAAUUCGGACUAAUACCCCAUAAUGAUAUCUGGAGGCAUCUUUAGAUAUUUAAAGUUCCGGCGGUACGGGAUGGGCAUGCGUAACAUUAGCUAGUUGGCAGGGUAACGGCCUACCAAGGCUACGAUGUUUAGGGGACCUGAGAGGGUGACCCCCCACACUGGUACUGAGACACGGACCAGACUCCUACGGGAGGCAG